rnacentral:rRNA from 1 species
CAAUAGCGUAUAUUAAAGUUGUUGCAGUUAGAACGCUCGUAGUCGGAUUUCGGGGCGGGCCGACCGGUCUGCCGAUGGGUAUGCACUGGUCGGCGCGUCCUUCCUUCCGGAGACCGUUCCUACUCUUAACUGAGCGGGGGCGGGAGACGGAUCGUUUACUUUGAAAAAAUCAGAGUGUUUCAAGCAGGCAGCUCGCUCUUGCAUGGAUUAGCAUGGGAUAAUGAAAUAGGACUUUGGUGCUAUUUUGUUGGUUUCGAACACCGAAGUAAUGAUUAAAAGGGACAGUCAGGGGCACUCGUAUUCCGCCGAGAGAGGUGAAAUUCUCAGACCAGCGGAAGACGAACUACUGCGAAAGCAUUUGCCAGGGAUGUUUNCACUGA